rnacentral:rRNA from 1 species
GACGAACGCUGGCGGCGUGCUUAACACAUGCAAGUCGAACGGAAAGGCCCUGCUCUUGUGGGGUGCUCGAGUGGCGAACGGGUGAGUAACACGUGAGUAACCUGCCCUUGACUUUGGGAUAACUUCAGGAAACUGGGGCUAAUACCGGAUAGGAGCUCCUGCUGCAUGGUGGGGGUUGGAAAGUUUCGGCGGUUGGGGAUGGACUCGCGGCUUAUCAGCUUGUUGGUGGGGUAGGGGCUUACCAAGGCUUUGACGGGUGGCCGGCCUGAGAGGGUGACCGGCCACAUUGGGACUGAGAUACGGCCCAGACUCCUACGGGAGGCAGCAGUGGGGAAUAUUGCACAAUGGGCGGAAGCCUGAUGCAGCAACGCCGCUUGCGGGAUGACGGCCUUCGGGUUGUAAACCGCUUUCGCCUGUGACGAAGCGUGAGUGACGGUAAUGGGUAAAGAAGCACCGGCUAACUACGUG